rnacentral:rRNA from 1 species
UACGUAGGGUGCGAGCGUUAAUCGGAAUUACUGGGCGUAAAGCGAGCGCAGGCGGUGAUGUAAGACAGAUGUGAAAUCCCCGGGCUCAACCUGGGAACUGCAUUUGUGACUGCAUCGCUGGAGUGCGGCAGAGGGGGAUGGAAUUCCGCGUGUAGCAGUGAAAUGCGUAGAUAUGCGGAGGAACACCGAUGGCGAAGGCAAUCCCCUGGGCCUGCACUGACGCUCAUGCACGAAAGCGUGGGGAGCAAACAGG